CAUUGACUACAAACAAUUAAAGAAUAACUACAUAAUUUGUAUGAAAAUUAUUUUGUAAAAAUAACACAAACCCCCCACGUAUCCUUCGGUGAGACAAACAUCUUCGGCAAAACUUCUGAGGCAGCACAAAACCAAUAUUCACACUUUUGGUUUAAAACAAGAUGGAUUUCAAAUAACAGAUGGCGACACUAUACCAACGACAUAUUCCAGUAGUAUCGACAUUAUCAGAUUGCGCAAUCAUUCGUUUACCAAACAAAGUGAUAGAUGCCGUUACAUACAGAGGUUUAGUGUUAAACGUAGUAUUGAAACGUCUGUUUCAUGGUAUGGCGCCAUGUAUGAACGAUCGUUGUAUAAAUAAGGGUGCGAAAUAAAUCGAUCAUUCCAUUAUUAUAUGCCGAGCGUUUCAUAAAUACAGCCGAAAUAUAAUCCUGCUCCUUCGAAACGAUCCGUCUGAUCAAUAAACCAUUCUAUUCUUCCCCUCUA